UACGUAGGGUGCAAGCGUUUAUCCGGAAUUAUUGGGCGUAAAGAGCUCGUAGGCGGUUUGUCGCGUCUGCUGUGAAAACUGGAGGCUCAACCUCCAGCCUGCAGUGGGUACGGGCAAACUAGAGUGCGGUAGGGGAGAUUUGGAAUUCCUGGUGUAGCGGUGGAAUGCGCAGAUAGUCAGGAGGAACACCGAUGGCGAAGGCAGAUCUCUGGGCCGUAACUGAACGCUGAGGAGCGAAAGCUGGGGAGCGAACAGG
rnacentral:rRNA from 1 species